rnacentral:lncRNA from 1 species
GAGGUUCGAGUGCUUGGAUGUAUUUCGAGCUUUUCCACACUUGGUGGAGGGUUGUAGAAUGUUUUCCGACCUAGAAAGUUCGAAAACUAGAAUUCUGGACAAGUCCUGAGAGUUUUUACUCUCGGGGACCGGUCCUUGGAAGGAGAGACCGGUCCCCCAGUGAGCAGUGUUGCGGCAGCCCUGAGGCAACCGGUCCCUGGCGGGCGAGACUGGUCCCUGAGCUCAUCUUCGCAGUGAGAGACCGGUCCCGCGCAGGGAGAGACCGGUUCCCGAACGUUGGUUCUCCGGGUUCGCAGCGAGAGACCGGUCCCUGCUGGGGAGAGACCGGUCCCUCUGGGCGAAAACUGCCCAGACCGGACUGUUGUAAUUUUGGAUUUUUGGGGGACCUAGCUGGAUUUUGUUGCAAUAGAGGGUCUAUAUGACCCAUCCACUUUCUCCUCUCCUCAUUUCUCUUCUCUCAACUCUCUCUACACCCUUGAUAGAGAAGAAGAAGAAGAAGGAGAAGGAGAAGAAGGAAGGAAGAAGAAGAAGUUUGAGAGCUACUAGUGGACUUGGAGCAUCUUCCUCACCCUCUCUUCUUCCUUGGUGCUUGGAGCUUGGACUUGGAGCUUGCAAGAGAGAAGAUCUUCACCCUUUGAGCUUGGAUUGAAGCUUCUU